UACGAAGGGGGCUAGCGUUGUUCGGAAUUACUGGGCGUAAAGCGCACGUAGGCGGAUUGUUAAGUCGGGGGUGAAAUCCUGGAGCUCAACUCCAGAACUGCCUUCGAUACUGGCGAUCUCGAGUUCGGGAGAGGUGAGUGGAACUGCGAGUGUAGAGGUGAAAUUCGUAGAUAUUCGCAAGAACACCAGUGGCGAAGGCGGCUCGCUGGCCCGAUACUGACGCUGAGGUGCGAAAGCGUGGGGAGCAAACAGG
rnacentral:rRNA from 1 species